AUGGAACGGCGCGGUGUCAAUCUGGCUGCGGAGGGGGCGAGGAGGCGGACGCAGUCUCGACUGGGGAGGGAGGCGGUGGUGGUGGAUGCAGGCGAGCAGGGGCGACGGGGCGGGCUGCGACGAAUGGGGAGGCGGUGUGGCAUGGAGGAGAAAGGGAUGGGAGUGCUGGGGAGGACGGCAGCGACGGUGGGAAAGGAGGAAAGGGGGAGAGAACGGAUCGGGGAUGUGGGCGGGUUGAGGGGGUUUCGGCAAGCGUGGAUCGGGGGUUGA
rnacentral:lncRNA from 1 species